AACGUAGGAGGCAAGCGUUAUCCGGAGUUACUGGGCGUAAAGGGCGCGCAGGCGGUUGGAUAAGUGUGCGGUGAAAGAGACAGGCUCAACCUGUGGAACGCCGUGCAGACUGUUCAGCUAGAGACAGCUAGAGGAACGCGGAAUUCGGGGUGUAGCGGUGAAAUGUGUAGAGAUGCCGAGGAACACCAGUGGUGAAGACGGCGUUCUGGGGCUGGACUGACGCUGAGGCGCGAAGGCGUGGGGAGCGAACGGG
rnacentral:rRNA from 1 species